AACUAAAAACUGUGGUUUCCAGCUACAAUAGUCAUUUACAACAUUAACAAAAACAAGGACAUUUCUAAGUGACCCCAAACUUUUGAACGGUAGUGUAUUUGGCAGGUUUCAGGACACUGAUGUAUCUGAAAAUGUUGAAAAAUUAUAUUUUCAACACCAAAGAAAAGCAGAGUGAUUUUAAAAUGAUUUUAAUCUUUGCAGGCUGUCAGGCUGUCUAGUCACAGAGGAAGGCUGUUCUUCCCUGGUCUCAGCUCUGAGGUCAAACCGGUCACAACUGAGAGAACUGGACCUGAGCUAUAAUCACCCAGGAGACUCAGGAGUCAGACUGCUCUCUGCUGGACUGGAGGAUCCACACUGCAGACUGGAGAAACUCAAUGUGGAACAUGGUGGAGAGAACACAAUGAAACCUGGGCUUAGAAAAUAUGCCUGUGACUUCACGCUGGACCCAAACACAGUAAACAAACUCCUCUCUCUGUCCAAGGAGAACAGAAAGGUGACAUGGAGGACAGAGGAGCAGCCGUAUCCUGAUCACCCAGAGAGAUUUGAGGACUGGCAGCAGGUGUUGUGUAGAGAGGGUCUGACUGGGCGCUGUUACUGGGAGGUAAAGUGGAGUGGGAAAGAGGCUGUUAUAGGAAUGACGUAUAAAGGAAUCAGCAGAAGAGUAGGGGUAAGGACUGUAUUAUUGGAUUAAAGUCCUGGAGUCUGGACUGCUCUGACAACAGUUACACGGCCUGGCACAAUUAUAAUCCCACUACCAUAGACGUCCCCCCCUCCAGCUCCCACAGAGUAGCAGUGUAUCUGGACUGGCCAGCCGGCACUCUGUCCUUCUACAGAGUCUCCUCUGACACACUGACCCACCUGUACACAUUCCACACCACAUUCACUGAGCCCCUCUAUCCAGGGUUUCAUGUUUGGUUUGAUGACUCCGCAGUUCCCCUGUGUCAGGUGGUCCCUGUGUCAAACACAACAUGAUGUUUCAAUCUAAUCCUGGUCAUGUUCAGUAAGACACACUGGAGCAACAAUUGAUAUGAACUCUCUAGUCAUGAGUUAACAGUUGAUUAUUAAAUCUAAAUAUGAAUGAUUGUAAACUGGGUGGUGUGAGCCCUGGAUGCUGAUUGGCUGACAGCCAUGGAGUAUCAGACUGUAUACAACGGGUGUGACAAAACACACAUUUUUACUGCUCUAAUUUAGUUGGCAAACUGUUUAUAAUAGCAAUUUGGCACCUAUGGGGUUUGUGAAAUAUGGCCAAUAUACCAUGGCUAAAGGCUGUAUCUAGGCACUCCCCAUUGCUUCAGAAGAAUUUAGACAUGGCACCCC